UACGAAGGGUGCAAACGUUGCUCGGAAUCAUUGGGCGUAAAGCGCACGUAGGCGGCCCCAAAAGUUGGAUGUGAAAUCCCUCGGCUCAACCGAGGACGUGCAUCCAAAACUGUGGGGCUUGAGUACUGAAGAGGCGAGUGGAAUUCCUGGUGUAGCGGUGAAAUGCGCAGAUAUCAGGAGGAACACCAAUAGCGAAGGCAGCUCGCUGGGACGUUACUGACACUGAGAUGCGAAAGCGUGGGGAGCAAACAGG
rnacentral:rRNA from 1 species